rnacentral:rRNA from 1 species
UACGAAGGGGGCUAGCGUUGCUCGGAAUUACUGGGCGUAAAGGGAGCGUAGGCGGGUUGUCAAGUUGGAGGUGAAAGCCCAGGGCUCAACCUUGGAAUAGCCUUCAAAACUGACAGCCUGGAGUAUGGAAGAGGUAAGUGGAACUCCGAGUGUAGAGGUGAAAUUCGUAGAUAUUCGGAAGAACACCAGUGGCGAAGGCGACUUACUGGUCCAUGACUGACGCUGAGGCUCGAAAGCGUGGGGAGCAAACAGG